rnacentral:rRNA from 1 species
AACGAACGCUGGCGGCAGGCUUAACACAUGCAAGUCGAACGCCCCGCAAGGGGAGUGGCAGACGGGUGAGUAACGCGUGGGAAUCUACCGUACCCUACGGAAUAGCUCCGGGAAACUGGAAUCAAUACCGUAUACGCCCUACGGGGGAAAGAUUUAUCGGGGUAUGAUGAGCCCGCGUUGGAUUAGCUAGUUGGUGGGGUAAAGGCCUACCAAGGCGACGAUCCAUAGCUGGUCUGAGAGGAUGAUCAGCCACAUUGGGACUGAGACACGGCCCAAACUCCUACGGGAGGCAGCAGUGGGGAAUAUUGGACAAUGGGCGCAAGCCUGAUCCAGCCAUGCCGCGUGAGUGAUGAAGGUCUUAGGAUUGUAAAGCUCUUUCACCGAUGAAGAUAAUGACGGUAGUCGGAGAAGAAGCCCCGGCUAACUUCGUGCCAGCAGCCGCCGUAA